UACAGAGGAUGCAAGCGUUAUCCGGAAUGAUUGGGCGUAAAGCGUCUGUAGGUGGCUUUUAAGUCCGCCGUCAAAUCCCAGGGCUCAACUCUGGACAGGCGGUGGAACUACCAAGCUGGAGUACGGUAGGGCAGAGGGAAUUUCCGGUGGAGCGGUGAAAUGCGUAGAGAUCGGAAAGAACACCAACGGCGAAAGCACCCUGCUGGCCGACACUGACACUGAGAGA
rnacentral:rRNA from 1 species